rnacentral:rRNA from 1 species
UACGGGGGGGGCAAGCGUUGUUCGGAAUUACUGGGCGUAAAGAGCUCGUAGGCGGUGUGUCGCGUCGGCCGUGAAAACCUGCAGCUUAACUGUGGGCUUGCGGUCGAUACGGGCAUCACUGGAGUUCGGUAGGGGAGACUGGAAUUCCUGGUGUAGCGGUGAAAUGCGCAGAUAUCAGGAGGAACACCGGUGGCGAAGGCGGGUCUCUGGGCCGAUACUGACGCUGAGGAGCGAAAGCUAGGGGAGCGAACGGG